UAACGAUACGGGACUCAUCCGAGGCCCCGUAAUCGGAAUGAGUACACUUUAAAUCCUUUAACGAGGACCCAUUGGAGGGCAAGUCUGGUGCCAGCAGCCGCGGUAAUUCCAGCUCCAAUAGCGUAUAUUAAAGUUGUUGCGGUUAAAAAGCUCGUAGUUGAAUCUGUGUGCCACGCUGUCGGUUCAUCGCUCGCGAUGUUUAACUGACAUGAUUGUGGGACGUCCUACCGGUGGACUUAGCUCCUCACGGGGCGGUCCAGCUAAUAUCCCAUCGCGGUGCUCUUUAUUGAGUGUCGAGGUGGGCCGGUACGUUUACUUUGAACAAAUUAGAGUGCUCAAAGCAGGCUAUGUUCGCCUGAAUACUCGUGCAUGGAAUAAUGGAAUAGGACCUCGGUUCUAUUUUGUUGGUUUUCGGAACCCCGAGGUAAUGAUUAAUAGGGACAGAUGGGGGCAUUCGUAUUGCGACGUUAGAGGUGAAAUUCUUGGAUCGUCGCAAGACGGACAGAAGCGAAAGCAUUUGCCAAAAAUGUUUUCAUUAAUCAAGAACGAAAGUUAGAGGUUCGAAGGCGAUCAGAUACCGCCCUAGUUCUAACCAUAAACGAUGCCAGCUAGCGAUCCGCCGAAGUUCCUCCGAUGACUCGGCGGGCAGCUUCCGGGAAACCAAAGCUUUUGGGUUCCGGGGGAAGUAUGGUUGCAAAGCUGAAACUUAAAGGAAUUGACGGAAGGGCACCACCAGGAGUGGAGCCUGCGGCUUAAUUUGACUCAACAC
rnacentral:rRNA from 2 species